rnacentral:lncRNA from 1 species
AGUUAGGGGAUGGAGGCCAACGUUGGCUCUGCAAACACCACCUCCACAGGCCCAAAUACUGCAGGUCACGAGAGGCACUGAUGGCAGCUCCUUCUGUGACGGGCUCAGGAACACCUGGUUGCUGCUCUCCAUGAGCUGUUCCAACUGUGAAGCAAAAGCUUCAUGCAUAAAGGCAUCCCAACGCAGUCAAUGACGCACAGGAGAAAGAGGACAGAGAUAAGCUUCUUGCCUGUUCCAGACACUGAGGAUCAGGCAGAGAGAGAGGCUCCUGCCAGGCUGAGCUUUUCCGGAGUGUGGAUAUGAACAGCCGUCUUGGGUCCUGAGGUGGAAGCCAUGUGUGGAAGAUGGAGGGCAUCGGUUAGAAGGAGUCUAGUCCCUGAUGGUCACUGAGCUGCAGAACCAGCCUGGGCUGCUUCCUGCUGGAUGUCACUUACUAGAGAGCGAAAUUAAAUGUGCUUCAGCUACUGUUA